GGAAAGGCUAAUCCACAAAAACGGAGAAACGUCCAUAAUUCCAUUAUUCAUAAUCAUGUCAAGGUUUUAGGUUUUUCUGCAGUUCCAUCUCUAAAAAGUGUGAUGUCUUCCCGUCACUGAUUUCAGUUUGAAAACUUUGUAUUUAUUCACAGAUUUCUGUGAGAUCAUCCUAAAAUUUGUAACGAAAAAUGGGCUCAAAAGAGCCCUCUGCCUAACGGCAUGUAGCCUAUAGCAUAACGUGAUAUUUUCAGUAGUGUAUGCAAAAAGGUCGGAAUUGAUGGAGAGUAGGGUUGCCUAAAUGGUUUAGGUUACAUUUUAAAUGUGUCGUUUUUUUGUUUAUACAUAUGGAUGGAUGGAGGGGGCAAGCUGGCAAAGUUUGUCAUGUGCAGUUUCUGACAGGCUACUUCACAACAAAACAAUUGCAGGUUGGUCUUAGAGGGCAAACAGAAUAAUUUCACUCGAUUCAUGGGUUACCUGACUGGUUGGGAAGGGAAAGAGCUGCCGUGUUGUCCGCCGUGGUUCCCAGUCGCUAUAGUUAGCCUACUAUGCCUACUCCAAGUAGUCCUAUGUCAUGCCGCUGCUACACGCCUCACAACAAAUGAACUGCAAGCGUGUUCACGUGACACGGUGACAGUGAAAAAGCGACAGGGUUCGGGUGUCUUUGAAGAAGGGGCACAAAUCAAGCCAUUAUUUUCACACCUUUUUAAAUCGCGCAGCUUUAAAAAAAUAAUAAUAAUCACGUCUUUCAAAAGGGCACUUUUUUGGACUGAAGGCAAAAGGGCAAGUGCUUCAGCACCACCUCGUCUCUAUCUGUGCAUGCCAGUGGCAGUGUGUCCCUCAGUCUGUCCUCACUCUGGACACUUUUUUGUUUUUGCAAGUGUUUUUGUUUUUGCAGGUGUUUUUCUUUGGCAGGUGUUUUUGUUUUUGCAGCAAUUUUCUUUUUGCAGGUUUUUUUCUUUUGCAGGUGUUUUUGUUUUUGCAGCAUUUUUCUUUUUGCAGGUGUUUUUGUUUUUGCAAGUGUUUUUCUUUUUGCAGGUGUUUUUCUUUUGCAGGUGUUUUUGUUUUUUGCAGGGGUUUUUCUUUUGCAGGGGUUUUUGUUUUUGCAGGUGUUUUUCUUUUGCAGAUGUUUUUGUUUUUGCAGCAUUUUUCUUUUUGCAGGUGUUUUUCUUUUGCAGGUGUUUUUGUUUUUGCAGCAUUUUUCUUUUUGCAAGUGUUUUUCUUUUUACAGGUGUUUUUCUUUUGCAGGUGUUUUUGUUUUUGCAGGUGUUUUUCUUUUGCAGGUAUUUUUGUUUUUGCAGCAAUUUUCUUUUUGCAGGUGUUUUUCUUUUUGCAGGUGUUUUUCUUUUGCAGGUGUUUUUGUUUUUGCAGCAUUUUUGUUUUUGCAGGUGUUUUUCUUUUGCAGGUGUUUUUGUUUUUGCAGCAUUUUUCUUUUGCAGGGGUUUUUCUUUUUGCAAGUGUUUUUCUUUUGCAGGUGUUUUUCUUUUUGCAGGUGUUUUUCUUUUGCAGGUGUUUUUGUUUUUGCAGCAUUUUUCUUUUUGCAAGUGUUUUCUGAAGUUGCAGUCCGUUUGGCCUCUCAGUGCCACCGUAACAGGUGGAAUCAGGACCACAUUAAGACCUAAUCACCUUCUCUCUCUGUCACACACACACACACACACACACACACACACACACACACACACACAUUUGCUGUAACACAAAAAGAGAGAGAGUAUUUAAAUGUAAAGUCUGAACAUUAGUCACUCUGUCUUCGGUGUGUGUUAGGAGGGUAAAAGUCCAGCUGGCUUAUUUUCCUACCUGGACUCCAUGGUAACGUUGUCAUAAAAGCACGUCAAUAAUUAAUAUGGACUUUUGCGUGUGCGUGCUUUCAAAGUUUUCCUCACACACACACUCUCUCUCUCUCUGUUAUUACAGUCUGUGUGUGUGUGUGUGUGUGUGUGUGUGUGUGUGUGUGUGUGUGUGUGUGUGUGUGUGUGUGUCUGUUCCUGUCUAGCUGUCUUGUGAGAGCCAACAGUCACACACACCGGUCCUCACAAAUUUGAAGGCCUGUUUGAGGCUCAAAAUGUGGUUUUAGUGUCAGGAUUACAAUUAGGUUAUGGUUAGCUUUAUGGUAGUUUAAUAGUUUAAUUAUUUAUAUAGCACAAUAAUUACAACAGGAGCGUUGACCAAAGUGCUGUACAAGA
ensembl:lncRNA